GGUCACUGCGCUAACAAACAACCCCACAAAUCAUUUCUUGCCCACACUGUGUGUCUACGGUGGAUUGGCUGUGGCUGUAAUCCAUGUCUCUUCACCCUGCGACUGCUGAUGGAGCAGUCUUAACCUGUCACGUUGCCUGUUUCCUGGGGGAUCUUCCCGACCCAGGGAUCAAACCCGUGUCUCCUGACUUGGCAGGCGGAUUCUCUACUACUGAGCCACCAGGGAAGCCCCUGUUUCCAGAAAUUUUUGUCAUCCCCAAAAGACACUCUGUACCCGUGAAACACAAGCUCUCCACCUCCUUCUAACCUCUGGUAAGCUCUAUUCUACUCUCCAUCUCUAAGAAUGUGCCUACUCUUGAUACAUUAUUGAAAUGGAAUCACACCAUAUUUGUCCUUUUAAGACUGGUUUAUUUGACUUAGCCUAACAUUUUUCCAGGUACGUCC
ensembl:lncRNA